GACGAACGCUGGCGGCGUGCUUAACACAUGCAAGUCGAACGGAAAGGCCUGCUUUCCCUUGUGGAUUGCGGGUACUCGAGUGGCGAACGGGUGAGUAACACGUGAGUGAUCUGCCCCCAACUUGGGUAUAAGCCUGGGAAGCUGGGUCUAAUUCCCGAUAGGACUGCAGGGUGGUGCCUGUGGUGGAAAACGAUUUUCUAGUGGUUGGGGAUGAGCUCGCGGCCUAUCAGCUUGUUGGUGGGGUAAUGGCCUACCAAGGCGGCGACGGGUAGCCGGCCUGGGAGGGUGGACGGCCACAUUGGGACUGAGAUACGGCCCAGACUCCUACGGGAGGCAGCAGUGGGGAAUAUUGCACAAUGGGCGGAAGCCUGAUGCAGCGACGCCGCGUGGGGGAUGACGGCCUUCGGGUUGUAAACUCCUUUCGACCGCGAGGAAGCCACCUGGUUGGAAGGGUGGUGACGGUAGUGGUAGAAGAAGCACCGGCUAACUACGUG
rnacentral:rRNA from 1 species